rnacentral:rRNA from 1 species
GGACGGGUGAGUAACGCGUAGGUAACCUGCCUUGUAGCGGGGGAUAACUAUUGGAAACGAUAGCUAAUACCGCAUAACGUCGCAAGACCAAAGAGGGGGACCUUCGGGCCUCUUGCCAUCAGAUGUGCCCAGAUGGGAUUAGCUAGUAGGUGGGGUAACGGCUCACCUAGGCGACGAUACAUAGCCGACCUGAGAGGGUGAUCGGCCACACUGGGACUGAGACACGGCCCAGACUCCUACGGGAGGCAGCA